rnacentral:rRNA from 1 species
GACGAACGCUGGCGGCGUGCUUAACACAUGCAAGUCGAACGGAAAGGCCCCCACUUUUUUGGUGGGGGUGCUCGAGUGGCGAACGGGUGAGUAACACGUGGGUGAUCUGCCCUGUACUUCGGGAUAAGCUUGGGAAACUGGGUCUAAUACCGGAUAGGACCAUGGUUUAGUGUCUCAUGGUGGAAAAAUUAUUGUUUUGGUGCAGGAUGAGCUCGCGGCCUAUCAGCUUGUUGGUGGGGUAAUGGCCUACCAAGGCGUCGACGGGUAGCCGGCCUGAGAGGGUGGACGGCCACAUUGGGACUGAGAUACGGCCCAGACUCCUACGGGAGGCAGCAGUGGGGAAUAUUGCACAAUGGGCGCAAGCCUGAUGCAGCGACGCCGCGUGGGGGAUGACGGCCUUCGGGUUGUAAACUCCUUUCGUUAGGGACGAAGCCGCACCUUUUU